rfam:Brachypodium distachyon strain Bd21 chromosome 1, whole genome shotgun sequence.
CAGGUAUCCUUUGACUCUUCUUAGUUCAACCAAAUGAACUAAAGUUUUAAAAUGAAACAAUUUUUUGAAAAACUAGUUCAUUUGUUUGAACCAAAGAGAGUCGAUGGGUACCCUG